rnacentral:rRNA from 1 species
AUGCAAGUUUUGAUGAUCCGUACAGCUGUGCGUCAGUCUGCGGAGGCGGCCAUGAUACUUUUCUUUCAGGGGUUAGAAGAAAAUAUUCGUGAUCAUGUUGAUUUAAUGCAAUAUAAUAAUAUUCACGAGUUGCUUCAUCAAGCGGAGCGUGCUGAACAUUGGGUAUUGGAGAAGCAAGCUUCAGAGAUGCAUCCAACUUACAAUAGUGGGCGACGUGGUUCUUCUCCUAUUGAUGGUGGAUUUAGUGCUAAACUGACUCCUUCUUAUAAGUUGGGAAGUAUUGAACAGAGCAAAGUGGCGGCUGCACCUAAGGAGGUUUCUCAGGUUUCAUCUAGUGCGAUGUCAUCUCAUCGUCGCAAUAUUAUUUGCCACAAUUGUGGAGGACGUGGACACAUGAAACAUGAAUGUUCCAAUCAACGAAGGGUUCUACUAGUUGAUGCGGAAUAUAUUUCAGAAUCUGAAGAUGAGACGCCUAAGUUAGAGGAUGGAAUUGAAAGAGGUCAUGGUGAUACCAUACUAUGUUAUCCUCGAGAUGAUCUUGAUAUAGAGAGUUUGCUAGCACAUAAGGUCCAGCGAGAUGACAAGACCAUUGUUGAACAAGGACAACGGCGGAGUAUUUUUCAAACUACAUGUACCAUCAAGGGAGAAGUUUGCCAAAUGAUAAUUGAUGGUGGCAGUGCUAUCAACAUGAUUAGCAAAGACGUGAUCGAGUCUUUUUCUUUGCCAACAUGGGAGAACCCAAAGCCAUACUAUAUGAAGUGGAUAAAUGAUGUGGGCAAAGUGAAGGUAACACAUAGGGUGAAGGUGCCUUUUUCUUUUGAUUGUUAUGUUGAUAAAGUGGAAUGCAAUGUUAUGCCACUACAUGUUUGUCAUCUUAUUUUGGGGCGUCCGUGGCAGCACUGUUAA